AUUGAACGCUGGCGGAAUGCUUUACACAUGCAAGUCGGACGGCAGCACGGACUUCGGUCUGGUGGCGAGUGGCGAACGGGUGAGUAAUGUAUCGGAACGUGCCCAGUCGUGGGGGAUAACGUAGUGAAAAUUACGCUAAUACCGCGUACGAUCUAUGGAUGAAAGCGGGGGACCGUAAGGCCUCGCGCGAUUGGAGCGGCCGAUAUAAGAUUAGGUAGUUGGUGGGUUAAAGGCUCACCAAGCCGACGAUCUGUAGCUGGUCUGAGAGGACGACCAGCCAAACUGGAACUGAGACACGGUCCAGACUCCUACGGGAGGCAGCAGUGGGGAAUUUUGGACAAUGGGCGCAAGCCUGAUCCAGCCAUUCCGCGUGAAGGAUGAAGGCCCUCGGGUUGUAAACUGCUUUUGUACUGAACGAAAAGGCUCUGGUUAAUACCUGGGGCUCAUGACGGUACCGUAAGAAUAAGCACCGGCUAACUACGUGCCAGCCGCCGCCGUAA
rnacentral:rRNA from 1 species